rnacentral:rRNA from 1 species
CCUGCAUGUACCGUAUGAAUAAGCAUCGGCUAACUCCGUGCCAGCAGCCGCGGUAAUACGGAGGAUGCGAGCGUUAUCCGGAUUUAUUGGGUUUAAAGGGUGCGUAGGCGGCCUGUUAAGUCAGCGGUGAAAUCUAGGAGCUUAACUCCUAAAUUGCCAUUGAUACUGGCGGGCUUGAGUGUAGAUGAGGUAGGCGGAAUGCGUGGUGUAGCGGUGGAAUGCAUAGAUAUCACGCAGAACUCCGAUUGCGAAGGCAGCUUACUAAGGUACAACUGACGCUGAAGCACGAAAGCGUGGGUAUCAAACAGGAUUAGAUACCCUGGUAGUCCACGCUGUAAACGUGAAACUCAAAGGAAUUGACGGGGGCCCGCACAAGCGGAGGAACAUGUGGUUUAAUUCGAUGAUACGCGAGGAACCUUACCCGGGAUUGAAAUGUAGAUGACCGCUCCUGAAAGGGAGUUUUCCUUCGGGACAUCUAUGUAGGUGCUGCAUGGUUGUCGUCAGCUCGUGCCGUGAGGUGUCGGCUUAAGUGCCAUAACGAGCGCAACCCCUGUCUACGGUUGCCAUCAGGUAAUGCUGGGAACUCCGUAGAGACUGCCGUCGUAAGGCGUGAGGAAGGUGGGGAUGACGUCAAAUCAGCACGGCCCUUACAUCCGGGGCGACACACGUGUUACAAUGGUAAGGACAAAGGGCAGCUACCUGGCGACAGGAUGCGAAUCUCCAAACCUUAUCACAGUUCGGAUCGGAGUCUGCAACUCGACUCCGUGAAGCUGGAUUCGCUAGUAAUCGCGCAUCAGCCAUGGCGCGGUGAAUACGUUCCCGGGCCUUGUAC